CGAUACAUGAUCAGUGAGGAGAGACCACACAAGAGCCUCACUCCAGACCGAAAGUGCUUGUUUCCUCCACUGCAGUGAGCACCUUCUCGUAAAGCAUGGAGAAGGAGUGGUAUGGAGGAAGAUCCAAGCGGUUAAAGCAGAUGGGAUUUUAGCAGGAACUGACCAGUGAAAUGAGCUUAAAAAGUAAUAACGCUAAUCCCCAGACUGCUAGCCAUACCUUGGAAGGGAAGUAACUUUGCCCCACUUCUCGACGCAGAAGUGGCGUGGCCCAUUGCUCCCCCGGAGAGAGGCGAAGCCUUCAUAAGGAACACUCGAAGUGCCUGUGACAAACUGCACAAAAGAAAAAAAGUCCAGGAAAUUUCACGACCACAAGUCAGCCAGGUCGAUUUCUGCAGUUCCAGCAAUGACAAGCUCCAGCUCACGGGCGUCAAACACGGAGACCAGCCUCACGUCCACAACCUGCACCAUUGAGAGUUAGUCAUAACAUCUUAGUCAUGAAAUUUUACCUUUAUUAUCACUUUCUUACACUCCAGAGAUGACUUGUAUUACAUUUUUUUCAAAUAAAAAAUGAAAGGUUAUAUUUUGCAGAAUGUUACUCAUUUGUUCUACCUCAUAGAAGCCUCGCACCAGGCUCUCCGUCUGCUGAGCCACACCUCUCUCGAUGCGCCACUUCACCAUGCGCUCGAUGUACUCCUUCUUAUUUUUCUCACACACUGGGACACCGGCUCCUCCAGGCUUCAGCUCCCGCUCUGUAAUCUGCAGUGGAGAAAAGUAAAACCCUUCCACAUUACUCCUAUUCUAUAUGGAGAGAUCCUAGAUAAAAUGAUAACACAUGUUAUUAAACACACUGGCAGAAAUUGGAUGCAUGUUCGCUUAAGGGAUAUUUGCUCAGGCUUGAUCUAAUAAGAUGAAACCAAAAUGUAUUCAUUUGAAUUUAAAUUUUAUUUGUCACAUACACAAUCAUGCACAGUACGACACAUAGUGAUUUUUAGUCUGUCUGUGUAUAAUAGAAAUGGAGAUAAAUCCAUAAAGACAUGGAUGAGUGAGUUUGGUAUGGAGGAACUUGACUGACCUGCACAGAGUCCUGACCUCAACCUCACAGAACACUUUUGUGAUGAAUUAGAGCAGAGACUGUGAGCCAGGCCAAAACUGGGACAUCUGCCUUUACAUGCACAUGAAUGUAAUAUGGAGUUGCCCCGCCCCAGCUAUAACAGCUUUAACUCUUCUGGGAAGGUUUUCCACAAGGUUUAGGAGUGUGUUUAUGGGAGUUUUUGACCAUUCCUCUAGAAGCAUAUGUGUGAGGUCAGACACUGAUGUUGGACGAGAAGGUCUGACUCGCAGUCUCCGCUCUAACUCAUCCCAAAGCUAUUCUAUUGGGUUGAGGUCAGGACUCUGUACAGGCCAGUCAAGUUUCUCCACACCAAACUUUAUGGGCCUUGCUUUGUACACUGGUGCGCAGUCAUGUUGGAACAGGAAGGGGUCAUCCCCAAACUGUUCCCACAAAGUUGGGAGCAUGAAAUUGUCCAAAAUGUCUUGGUAUGAAGCUGAAGCAUUAAGAGUUCCUUUCACUGGAACUAAGAGGCCGAGCCCAAGCCCUGAAAAACAACACCUGAAUUCAAUGAUUUGUAGGGGUGUCCCAAAACUUUUGGCAAUAUAGUGUAUGUUGAUAUGAAUGAAAUGAGUAUGAAUGAAGGAAAUUCAUAUAUCCAUGGAAAGAGAUACUUUAAUUGAACUUAAAUAUCAGUGAUGAUACAGUUGAGGCCUAACAUUUACGUACAGUGAAAUAUGUUCACUGUCACCAGAAUUUUUUCACACACUUCAUGUUACCAAAUAUUUCUUUUUGUCACUAAGGGCAUCAACUUUGUUCAUCUCAGAGGUCAUUUAAAAACAAUUGAAUAGAGACAGAUUAAUUACUAAUUACUUAAUUCACUAUAUCAGAAUUUCAUUGGGUCAAAUGUUUCAUCAUCUGUCUCUUUAAAUGGUCGGGGGGGGGGGGGGUGAUUUUUAGCAGCUUCUGAUUGGCUAAUUGUCAUAAGCAUUAAUUAGGUGUAGACAAGUGGCUGUGUUAGGAGCCAGACCUUUUCUGCCCUCGAUACCAUGGAAAAUCCAAGCAACCCAUCCAAGACCUCGGAAAAAAAAAUUCAUGAACUUCCUGUUUCAAAUCCAUGGAGCUGGAUGCAAGUUAAGUUUUAUUAAAUAACAAUUAACAACCAGAAGGCAGGAAAAAAGAACCAAGAGGUAACAAAACAACCCAAAAUCAAGACAAGGAUAUUACAGGAAACAUGUAGCAGGGAUACAGACUUCUCAGUCUGUAGGGGAAUAGCAGAUAAGGAGGGCACAAACACGGGAAAUGAGCCAGAUAACAAUAGGAGUUAAGAACGUUGAGUGAGCAUGAACAUCAUCCCAACUGUGAAACCUGGUGGUGGUGGAAUGAUUGUAUAGGAGUGUUCUGCUGGAAGAAGGACUAGAGGAAAUGUAUAGUAACCUGAAAUGUGUGGAGUUUUGAAAGUCUAAAACAUUUGGCAUCAACUUUGUAAAUAAUUGUUUACAGGCACUGGCUACUAUACACAUCUUAAAAUAUUACUAAAAAGCCAUCAAAUCAUAACUUUGAUGAUGUUUGCUUUAUUUAAAUCUUGACAGAUUAUCUUAUAUUAGCUAACCUAGUAGUGAUGUGUGAUAUGUAAGAACCAUGAGCACACAGCUGACCUGACCAAACACCUCCUCAUUGACGGUGAAGGUGAGAUCCAGCAUGUUUUCAAUGUCGUUAUCCUUCAUCCACUGCAGGCUCUGAUGAAACUCCUCAUCCAGAAACUCCAAGUCACUCAAAUCACACGGACUACAAAAGUCAAAAAGCACUGAUGGAAGGAGUCUCCAGUUUCAGCACUGUUUUUUGUUUGUUUUGUUUUGUUCAGCUUACUGUAACACUGUAGUUAUAUAGUAGAUCCCAUCAGCACCAACAUACUGGUGAGAUUUCACUGGAACUGGUUCAGGUUAAUACUAUAUGACUUGAUUACACUCAAGCUAUUCAAUCAUUCGAUCUUGUCAUUAGUAACAUGUUUAAAACAACUUUAGCAUAACUAAUGAAAUCCCAUUAUUGAUGAGAAGCGUAAAUAUUUUUAUGCAACAUUUUGUUCUUAAAUCUGACUGAAAACGUAUUCUUUUCCAGUAGAGUAUUAUGUGUGCUAAAUAAUUGCGUGUCCUCAAAACAGGACUUUUGACACUGGUACAGUGGAAACAGGGAGACGGGACAAAAAGACAGGACAAGUAAGAAAACUCUCUUUCUUGAGCAAUUACCACGACAAAAAGCUUCAUCUGUAAACAUCUUCACGUACAAGUAAGAGAUUUACUUUAGAACCGGAAAGAACACAAACCUCUAACUAAAUCACAUACGUACAAUACAAUACAUCUCAGUAGACAGACUCACAUGCGCAGCAGGCCUUUAUAGAACGGCCGAGUGAAGAAGGCAUCCAGGAGGUACUGGUGAAUCAGAGCGAGGCCCAAAAUUCUCCCACUGAACCGGAACCUGAGUAACAAGCACAUCUUUGAUUCACUUCAUGCUACAUGACAUGACAUUACAUGUUCAAUACGCAGCACUUCCUACUGACUUCAGUGACAAGCCGAGUGCUGUUGUGAUUCCUGCCGACUCACCAUUC